CCUUCGAUAGCUCAGUUGGAAGAGCGCGAGACUGUAACGGGAAAUACGUGAUCUUGAGGUCGCUGGUUCGAUCCCGGCUCGAAGGA